UACGUAGGGUGCGAGCGUUGUUCGGAGUUACUGGGCGUAAAGGGUGUGUAGGCGGUUGUUUAAGUUUGGUGUGAAAUCUCCCGGCUCAACUGGGAGGGUGCGCCGAAUACUGAUGACUCGAGUGUGGGAGAGGUGAGUGGAAUUCCUGGUGUAGCGGUGAAAUGCGUAGAUAUCAGGAGGAACACCGGUGGUGUAGACGGCUCACUGGACCAUAACUGACGCUGAGACACGAAAGCGUGGGUAGCAAACAGG
rnacentral:rRNA from 1 species